AACGAACGCUGGCGGCAUGCCUAACACAUGCAAGUCGAACGAGAUCUUCGGGUCUAGUGGCGCACGGGUGCGUAACGCGUGGGAAUCUGCCCUUUGGUUCGGAAUAACAGUUGGAAACGACUGCUAAUACCGGAUGAUGACGAAAGUCCAAAGACUUAUCGCCAGAGGAUGAGCCCGCGUAGGAUUAGCUAGUUGGUGUGGUAAAGGCGCACCAAGGCGACGAUCCUUAGCUGGUCUGAGAGGAUGAUCAGCCACACUGGGACUGAGACACGGCCCAGACUCCUACGGGUGGCAGCAGUGGGGAAUAUUGGACAAUGGGCGAAAGCCUGAUCCAGCAAUGCCGCGUGAGUGAUGAAGGCCUUAGGGUUGUAAGGCUCUUUUACCCGGGAUGAUAAUGACAGUACCGGGAGAAUAAGCUCCGGCUAACUCCGUGCCAGCCGCCGCCGUAA
rnacentral:rRNA from 1 species